rnacentral:rRNA from 1 species
CCUACGGGUGGCAGCAGUGAGGACUAUUGGUCAAUGGACGAGAGUCUGAACCAGCCAAGUAGCGUGAAUGAUGACUGCCCUAUGGGUUGUAAACUUCUUUUAUAUGGGAAUAAAACGUUCCACGUGUGGGAUUUUGUAUGUACCAUAUGAAUAAGGAUCGGCUAACUCCGUGCCAGCAGCCGCGGUAAUACGGAGGAUCCGAGCGUUAUCCGGAUUUAUUGGGUUUAAAGGGAGCGUAGGUGGAUUGUUAAGUCAGUUGUGAAAGUUUGCGGCUCAACCGUAAAAUUGCAGUUGAAACUGGCAGUCUUGAGUACAGUAGAGGUGGGCGGAAUUCGUGGUGUAGCGGUGAAAUGCUUAGAUAUCACGAAGAACUCCGAUUGCGAAGGCAGUUCACUGGACUGCAACUGACACUGAGGCUCGAAAGUGUGGGUAUCAAACAGGAUUAGAUACCCUGGUAGUC